AAGAUCUUAAGUUAAAUAAACUGUGGGCCUUCAAAGCCUGAAAUAGGAUUAUAGUUCCUAGAUCUUG
rnacentral:tRNA from 1 species